UUGGUAGAAGCCAAAGUUAGAGGCAUAUCACUGUUAAUGAUAAUACUGAAUUUUUUUUUCCUACCAAG
rnacentral:tRNA from 1 species